rnacentral:misc_RNA from 1 species
CCGAGUGAGGGGCCUCUGGUCCGACCUCCAACCCUUUGUGGACCGACACCCGUUGCCUCGGGGGCGACCCGGACGCCGACGCGUCGGCGUCGGGCACCCCGACGGACCAUUUCAACUCUGUAUCUGUACGUCGGAGUGAUUAGCGAAUCGAUCA